rnacentral:rRNA from 1 species
UAGUUGGCGGGGUAACGGCCCACCAAGUCUACGAUGGGUAGCUGAUGUGAGAGCAUGAUCAGCCACAUGGGCACUGAGACACGGGCCCAACUCCUACGGGAGGCAGCAGUAAGGAAUAUUGGUCAAUGGACGCAAGUCUGAACCAGCCAUGCCGCGUGAAGGAUUAAGGUCCUCUGGAUUGUAAACUUCUUUUAUAGGGGGAGAAACACUCGUUUUCCAACGAGCUUGACGGUACCCUAUGAAUAAGCACCGGCCAACUCCGUGCCAGCAGCCGCGGUAAUACGGAGGGUGCAAGCGUUAUCCGGAUUUACUGGGUUUAAAGGGUGCGUAGGCGGAUUAGUAAGUCUGUGGUGAAAUCUCUGAGCUUAACUCAGAAAUUGCCGUGGAUACUAUUAAUCUUGAAUGUCGUUGAGGUUAGCGGAAUAUGUCAUGUAGCGGUGAAAUGCUUAGAUAUGACAUAGAACACCAAUUGCGAAGGCAGCUGGCUAAACGAAUAUUGACGCUGAGGCACGAAAGCGUG